UACAAAAUUUACUAUUCACGUCGGUCAACGCGACUAUUCAUUGCGUUGACCGACGUGAAUAGUAUCAUAUUACAUAUAUUCGUCUUUUAUGAAAUGACACAAAUAAUAAAUGGUUUGCGUCGGUUGUAUAUGCUCACUAAUUCCGCAACCGACGGAAAAAGAAAAAAAAAAUAAAACAAAACAUAUUUAGCGACGUUUUACAAACAUCGCGAGUUCUUUGUGUGUCGUUUUUAAAUCGAUGGUAAAGAAUUUGCUACUGUGAGAAAAGGUCGCAAACUCUCUUACGAUUCACUUACCCCCAAAUUUCUUAUAAACCAAAUCAUUUCUUACGAACCCUAGGCGAAUUUCCUCUACUGCUCAACUUCGAAGUCUUGAACUCCCUCCUCUGCUCACGCGAUUUUGCUCUGCCAUGCCUCAGAUUUUUGCUCCUCCAGUGCUGUAAGUUCCCUCUGCUCGUGCUAUCGCGGUCUCGAUCUCUUCGACCUCCGUAAGUAUCUCAAAUGCAAUUAUACCUUCCUUCGAGGCAGCCAUCAAUCAAUCCUUUUAUGUUCAUCCCCAAUUUAUUUCUCAGUAUUAUCCUUUAUAUUUCUCAAAACACCUAAUACGAUUAGCCAUAUGUUCCUCUGCAUCUUUCUUAAUUAAACCUUUUCUUCAAAUUAUUUUAUGUAUAUAAAUAAUUUAUUUUCUAAAAUCAAGAUCUUAUUUAACAUCCAUUGUUAGAAACUCUCUUCAACUAAAUCUCUCAUUGCAACCACAUGAAGAUUUUUAGGGUUUCACUUUCAGUUGAAGCCUUAAUAUUCUCUAUUUUGAUUGUUCUUCCAGAGUUGUCAUCUGCUACAUCUGUUCUUUCUAUGGAUUUGAAGGACCUAUCAAAAGUUUGGAGAGAGGUUAGGACAGAGUACUAUGGAUUGACUUUACAUUAAGCUAUUUCUUCAUGUAUGAAAAGGUAUAAUGUCUUUUAAAUAAAUAUAUAUUAUGAUUAGAUUCUGGACUUUAUAUAAAUGAUUAACUUGAUAUUUUCAAUUGUGGUUGAAGGGAAGAAAACUAGUUUCAUACAUAAGACAAAUUAUCUCAUCUUCAUGAUUAGUGCAUUUCAGGAACCAUUGAUUAUUGAAUGUUUCUUUUCUAAUUAUUUUGGUUAUAAUUUGAAAGUGUACUCUUUUUCAUUUAAUCUUGAUACUUCUAUUAUAAGAGGUGUGGAUUAUUUUUUAGGUGGAGCCAUUUAUUAAUUCUAAACUUACUCAUAGUGUAAAUUAGUUUCUAAUAUUAAUAAAAACAGUGACAAGCAACUUUAUGACUUGCUUAUCACUGCUCGUUUUUCUUAGUUUGCAGUGAAGAAUCAUGCUCAUCAAGUGUAUGUUUUUUUUCGUUAUCCAAUUAUUUGUGUGUA